rnacentral:lncRNA from 1 species
CUCUAUGUUUGGAUUCUUUGUUCAGGCCAUUGUUACUGGAAAGGGUCCAUUAGAGAACCUCGCUGACCACCUUGCAGACCCAGUCAACAACAACGCCUGGUCUUACGCCACAAACUUUGUUCCCGGAAAAUGAGUAUCAUAAAACUUUCUCAAAAAGUUUGAUUGUUUGAUGGCCUUGUAAAGUUGUAAUUGUGAGUUUACUAGACAAUAGAAUGGAUUUUUCUUAUAUUCUAAUUAUGGUGUAGUCUAUAAUUUCACUUUCCAAUGGCAUGAAUGAAAUACUGCAAGUUUCAUAUCGAAAGGGAAUAAGAUGACUGAGCAGAAAAAAAAACAAGAUACAUUUGGGAUGUAGUAAAAGCUUAAAACUUGAAUAUACAGACCACCAGAGGAACUUAUGGAAUGCAAUCACUUCUCAAGAAGCAAUACUCUAACUUAGGGCCAAGAAUAAAAUGAUGCUAUUAACAAUGAUUCCUUACUUUUCUGUCGAGAAGUGAGCUGAAUGAAGAGGACAUAUGUUAUUUCACCACUACGUAAGCCACUGACAUUUCAAUGAUGAGGGAAAACCAAUGUAUAUGUUUUGUAAUCAGAAGGCAUCAAGAACUCUCUCCGUUUCAAUUUAUUCAGUCUUACUCUUCUUUUUAAGUCUCUUUAAGAAAGAAUGUUUCACUCCUUUUUCGAGAAUUCCUUAAUUUUAACUUUUCACUUAACCUGUGUAAGGCCACAACAGUAAAUAACGUUUUAAUACAUUCUAUAUAUCUUUAAGUUUAAAACCACAAGAUUCACGAGUUUCUUUUACUUUCUUAAAUUCCGUGUUAAGUCAAAUCUGGACAAACAAAUUAAAACGAUCUGUGUGACAGCUUACAUAGCAGAGGCAGGUACCGUUCCAAACAUGGCACAUAGUAUUAACAGAACCAAAAGGACAUAGUAAGCAGAAAUAUACAUGACACUAUAGAAAGGAAAUUAAGUUCUAUGCAUUAACUAUGUCAAAAAUACUUACACAAUCAUAUCACUUAUUAAUAUGGGCGCACAGAGGUAGCCUUCAGCAUACCGAUUUGACAGAACCAAAUAGCUUUGGCUUAAACCAUGUAUAUGUGUUAACAAAUUCAUUAAAUAUGUAUACACAUUGAAUUUAGAAUUCAUUUACUAAUACUUCAGGUCGUUGUCCUAGAUUCUAGAACUCAUAAAGUUCAAAUCUUGAUCCACCUUUGCUUAUUAAGUAAUUACAAGUUAAUCUUUUGAUAAAACAACAAUAACAACAUACCCAAUGUUAUUCCACAAGUGAGGUCUGGCGAGGGUAAUGUGUUAUGCAUACCUUACCGCUACCAUAGUUCUACAUUGAAUGACCAAUGGAUAAUGAUAAGAGAUAUCAGUAUUGUAAGCUCAACAAAUCACAGGGUAGAGUUCAAGCCACACAAAGGAGGAAAAUAUUGGAUGGGUCCCUUUAGUAAACAUCUUGGAAAAUUGAUGGAUUGGAGAUUGGCAAGAUUGCAUUAAUUGCUACACAUAGUAUCUAGAUACCCAAUGAGAUCAUAGAUAUAGAUGUCAUUAGAUAAUUUGAACUUUUUCCCUCAUAACUACUCCCUAUAUAUGGUGAAUUAAUUCCCUAACUUCAUCUCAUCACAACCAACUUCAACAAUAUUUCAAACCCUCCAACACUUACUUUUCUCUUCAGAUAAAACCAUGGCAGCUGCUACAAUGGCUCUUUCUUCCCCUUCUUUUGCAGGACAGGCAGUGAAGCUUUCACCAUCUGCCUCAGAAAUUACUGGAAAUGGAAGGAUCACUAUGAGAAAGGCUGUCGCCAAGUCUGCCUCGUCUAGCAGCCCAUGGUAUGGACCAGACCGUGUUAAGUACUUGGGCCCAUUCUCUGGUGAGUCCCCAAGCUACUUGACCGGUGAAUUCCCUGGUGACUAUGGGUGGGACACCGCUGGACUUUCAGCAGAUCCAGAAACCUUUGCCAAGAACCGUGAGCUUGAGGUGAUCCACUGCAGAUGGGCUAUGCUUGGUGCUCUUGGAUGUGUCUUUCCUGAGCUCUUGGCCCGUAACGGUGUCAAGUUUGGCGAAGCUGUGUGGUUCAAGGCUGGAUCCCAAAUCUUCAGCGAGGGUGGACUUGACUACUUGGGGAACCCAAGCUUGGUCCAUGCACAAAGUAUUUUGGCCAUCUGGGCUUGCCAAGUUGUGCUGAUGGGAGCUGUUGAGGGAUACCGUAUUGCUGGUGGGCCUCUUGGUGAGGUUGUCGACCCACUAUACCCCGGUGGCAGCUUUGACCCAUUAGGUCUUGCUGAUGAUCCAGAGGCAUUUGCUGAGCUCAAGGUAAAGGAGAUUAAGAACGGUAGACUUGCUAUGUUCUCUAUGUUCGGAUUCUUUGUUCAAGCCAUUGUUACUGGAAAGGGUCCAUUGGAAAACCUUGCAGAUCACCUUGCAGACCCAGUUAACAACAACGCCUGGUCCUACGCCACAAACUUUGUCCCCGGAAAAUAAAAAUCUUAAAACAUUCUCAAGUUUCUGACCAUUUGAUGACCAUGUAAAGUUGUAAUUUGUGAGUUUACUUGACAAUAGAAUGAUUUUUUCUUAUAUCCUAUUCCAGUUAUGGUGUAGUCCUGAAUUCCAUUUUCCAAUGGCAUGAAUGAAAUGCUGCAAGUUUCAUAUCAAAGGGGAAAAACAGGUGACUGUUAAAAAAAAAACCAAUAUACAUUUGGGAUGUGGUAAAAGCUUAAAAGUUGAAUAUAGAGACCACUAGAGGAACUUAUGGAAUGCAAUCAGUUCUCAAGAAGCAAUACUCUUAACUUAGUGCCAACAGUAACAUGAUGAUUCCUUAUUUUUCAGUUUAGAAGUGAGAUGAAUUAAGAGGACAUAUGUUAUUUCACAACUACGUACGCCAUUGACAUAUCAAUGAUAAGGGAAAACCAAUGUAUAUGUUUUGUCUUCAGAACGCAGCAAGUAUUCUCUAUGUUUCAAUUUAAUCGUCUUACUUUCUUUUUUGACAAUACCUUGUUUAAAAUUUUCACUCAACAUGUUUAAGACCACAAGAUUAAAUAACGUUUUGGUGCAUUAUACUUAUCUUUAGUUUAAGACCAUUAGAUUAAAAAAUGUUCUUUACUUUCUUUAAUUCCGUGACAAGUCAAAACUAGACAAACAAAUUAAAAACGGAGCGAGUAAGAUAUACAAGUUUCCAGGCCAUGAAUGUACUUAUAUGUCCUUAAUUUGAUUAGCAUAUUUAAUUUGAACAAAUUCCUAACUUUCUUGUAUAGUCAUCUUUCCUUACAUGCAUGUCUGUGACAGCUUAUAUAACAGAGGCAGGUAUCCUUCCAAACAUGGCACAUAGUAAUGACCAGAGACAAAAGGACACAUAGUAAGCAGAAGAUAUACAUGACACUAUGGAAAGGAAAUUAAGUUCCAGGCAUUGACAUUGUCAAAAAUACUUGCACAAUCAUAUCACUUCAGAAGCGCGCAGAGGUAGCCUUCAUCAUACCGGUUAGACUAUACAAAAUAGCUUUGGCUUAAACCAUGUAUAUUUGUUAAGAAAUUCAUUAAAUAUGUAUACAACAUUUACUAAUACUUGAGGUCGUUGUCCUAGAUUCUAGAACUCAUAAAGUUCAAAUCUUGAUCAGCCUUUCCUUAUUAAGUAAUUACAAGCUAAUCUUUUGAUAAACAACACUAACAACAAAUCGAAUGUAAUCCCAUAAGUAAGGUCUGGGGAGAGUAAUGUGUUAGGCAGACCUUACCCUACCGUAUUUCUACAUUGAGUGAUAUAUAGUGCUGUUAGAUAAAAUCUAGAGAAAUUUCCAAUGGAUAAUGAUAAGAGAUAUCAUACUAUAAGCUCAACAAAUCACAGAAUAGAGUUCAAGCCUUGUAGCCAGUGGACAACAUUAGUUGGGUCCCCCUGUAAACAUCAUGGAAAAUUGAUGGACUAAAGAUUGCCAAGUUGCAUUACUUGCUACACAUGGGAUCUUGAUACCCAAUGAGAUUAUAAAUAUAGAUAUUACUAGAUAAGGACUCUUUCCCUCUUACUCCCUAUAUAUGGUGAAUUAAUUCAACACAUCACAGCAAACUUCAACAAUUUUCAUAUCAUCAAACACUUGCUUUUCUCUUAAUAUAAACACAAUGGCAGCUGCUACAAUGGCUCUUUCUUCCCCUUCUUUUGCUGGACAGGCAGUCAAACUUUCACCAUCUGCCUCAGAAAUCUCUGGAAAUGGAAGGAUCACUAUGAGAAAGGCUGUCUCCAAGUCUGCUCCAUCUAGCAGCCCAUGGUAUGGCCCUGACCGUGUUAAGUACUUGGGCCCAUUCUCUGGUGAGUCCCCAAGCUACUUGACUGGUGAAUUCCCUGGUGACUACGGGUGGGAUACUGCUGGACUUUCAGCAGACCCUGAAACCUUUGCCAAGAACCGUGAACUCGAGGUGAUCCACUGCAGAUGGGCUAUGCUUGGUGCUCUUGGAUGUGUCUUCCCUGAGCUCUUGGCCCGCAACGGUGUCAAGUUUGGUGAGGCUGUGUGGUUCAAGGCUGGAUCCCAGAUCUUCAGCGAGGGUGGACUUGACUACUUGGGCAACCCAAGCUUGGUCCAUGCUCAAAGCAUCUUGGCCAUUUGGGCUUGCCAAGUUGUGUUGAUGGGAGCCGUUGAGGGAUACCGUAUUGCAGGUGGACCUCUUGGUGAGGUUGUGGACCCACUAUACCCCGGUGGAAGCUUUGACCCAUUGGGUCUUGCUGAUGACCCAGAGGCAUUUGCUGAACUCAAGGUAAAGGAGAUCAAGAACGGCAGACUUGCUAUGUUCUCCAUGUUUGGAUUCUUUGUCCCCGGUGGAAGCUUUGACCCAUUGGGUCUUGCUGAUGACCCAGAGGCAUUUGCUGAACUCAAGGUAAAGGAGAUCAAGAACGGCAGACUUGCUAUGUUCUCUAUGUUUGGAUUCUUUGUUCAAGCCAUUGUUACCGGAAAGGGUCCAUUGGAGAACCUUGCUGAUCACCUUGCAGACCCAGUAAACAACAACGCCUGGGCCUUCGCCACAAACUUUGUUCCCGGAAAGUGAUCAUAAAAUGAUCUCAAAUUUUCAUGUAAAGUUGUUGUGAAUGAGUUGACAAUAGAAUGGAUUUUUCUUAUAUUCCAAUGAUUUUUAGUCCUGAAUUUUCAUUUUCUAAACCCGCGAUACGAAUCAAACACUAAAACUUUCAUUCCAAAAAGAAAAGAAAUAGAAUAAUGCCCUAAUGAACACUUUCGACGAUAUGGUAAUUAAAAAACCACAGUAAAGGUGUUUAUAGCUUAAAACUUCAAUUUGUAGAACAG